rnacentral:rRNA from 1 species
GGUAGCACAGGGGAGCUUGCUCCCUGGGUGACGAGCGGCGGACGGGUGAGUAAUGUCUGGGAAACUGCCUGAUGGAGGGGGAUAACUACUGGAAACGAUAGCUAAUACCGCAUAACGUCGCAAGACCAAAGAGGGGGACCUUCGGGCCUCUUGCCAUCAGAUGUGCCCAGAUGGGAUCAGCUAGUAGGUGGGGUAAUGGCUCACCUAGGCGACGAUCCCUAGCUGGUCUGAGAGGAUGACCAGCCACACUGGAACUGAGACACGGUCCAGACUCCUACGGGAGGCAGCAGUGGGGAAUAUUGCACAAUGGGCGCAAGCCUGAUGCAGCCAUGCCGCGUGUGUGAAGAAGGCCUUCGGGUUGUAAAGCACUUUCAGCGAGGAGGAAGGUGGUGAACUUAAUACGUUCAUCAAUUGACGUUACUCGCAGAAGAAGCACCGGCUAACUCCGUGCCAGCAGCCGCGGUAAUACGGAGGGUGCAAGCGUUAAUCGGAAUUACUGGGCGUAAAGCGCACGCAGGCGGUUUGUUAAGUCAGAUGUGAAAUCCCCGGGCUCAACCUGGGAACUGCAUUUGAAACUGGCAAGCUAGAGUCUCGUAGAGGGGGGUAGAAUUCCAGGUGUAGCGGUGAAAUGCGUAGAGAUCUGGAGGAAUACCGGUGGCGAAGGCAGCCU